rnacentral:rRNA from 1 species
GACGAACGCUGGCGGCGUGCUUAACACAUGCAAGUCGAACGGAAAGGCCCUGCUUUUGUGGGGUGCUCGAGUGGCGAACGGGUGAGUAACACGUGAGUAACCUGCCCUUGACUUUGGGAUAACUUCAGGAAACUGGGGCUAAUACCGGAUAGGAGCUCCUGCUUCAUGGUGGGGGUUGGAAAGUUUCGGCGGUUGGGGAUGGACUCGCGGCUUAUCAGCUUGUUGGUGGGGUAGUGGCUUACCAAGGCUUUGACGGGUAGCCGGCCUGAGAGGGUGACCGGACACAUUGGGACUGAGAAACGGCCCAGACUCCUACGGGAGGCAGCAGUGGGGAAUAUGGCACAAUGGGCGGAAGCCUGAUGCAGCAACGCGGCGUGCGGGAUGACGGCCUUCGGGUUGUAAACCGCUUUCGCCUGUGACGAAGCGUGAGUGACGGUAAUGGGUAAAGAAGCACCGGCUAACUACGUG